UACAGAGGGUGCAAGCGUUGUUCGGAAUUAUUGGGCGUAAAGCGCGUGUAGGCGGCUUUGCAAGUCGGGUGUGAAAGCCCUCAGCUCAACUGAGGAAGUGCGCCCGAAACUGCAGAGCUUGAGUGCCGGAGAGGGUGGCGGAAUUCCCCAAGUAGAGGUGAAAUUCGUAGAUAUGGGGAGGAACACCGGUGGCGAAGGCGGCUACCUGGCCCACUCUUGACGCUGAGGCGCGAAAGCUAGGGGAGCAAACAGG
rnacentral:rRNA from 1 species